UGCCCCAGGCGGGGAUCGAACCCAAAAACUCCUGCUUUCUGGGUAACUGUGCCACAGAUUACACCACCAAGGC